CAGCAGCCGCGGUAAUACGUAGGGGGCGAGCGUUGUCCGAAGUUACUGGGCGUAAAGCGCGCGUAGGCGGCUUCUUAAGUCUGAGGUGAAAGGUUCAACGCUUAACGUGAACAGUGCCUUGGAUACUGGGGAGCUUGAGUAUGGGAGAGGGCAGUGGAAUGGCUGGUGUAGCGGUGAAAUGCGUAGAUAUCAGUCGGAACACCCAUGGCGAAGGCAGCUGCCUGGCCUAAUACUGACGCUGAGGUGCGAAAGCGUGGGGAGCGAACGGGAUUAGAUACCCGCGUAGUCCCUGUCUCUUAUU
rnacentral:rRNA from 1 species